rnacentral:misc_RNA from 1 species
AAUUUAAAAAAAAAAAAAGAAAAAGCAUUUAAAAGGGGAAUUGCCUGGUAGAAAAAGAUAAUCUCUUUCAAUUAAAGCUCAAAUAGCCAUGGGGGUUACGUCUGUGACAGUACCAGCUAUUGCUGCUGCUGCUGCUGGGCUUUUUUUCUUAGGAAAAACCCAUUCCAAAGCUCAGGAGGUUGGAAGUGGAAUGCAAGCAUGUAUAGCAGGCAUGGUGGGAAAAGUGAAGGAAGAGAUGAAAACUAACGCUGAGUUGCCACAGUUAGCUCCUCAAUUCGAUGGCCUUUACUGUUUUGAAACUUUCAUAACUCAAUGAUGAUGAUGCCUGCCCAAUGAUUCGUUCAAUUCUUUCCAUUCUUUCUCCUUCUUCUUUAUCUGUUUAUUUAUUUGAACAAUGUGAAUUUCAUUGCAAAACGCUUCAAACGACAUCAUGUUAAAGCAACGGUAAGCCACCUAAUAAUUGUUUCUUUUGCAUGGUGUAUUUUGGAGCCAGAUGGUUUAGGUUGUGAUUGUCCCAUUAUUUCUUAAGGAAAAAUUAUGUGUCUG